rnacentral:rRNA from 1 species
UACGGAGGGUGCAAGCGUUGUCCGGAUUUACUGGGUUUAAAGGGUGCGUAGGUGGGUCUGUAAGUCAGUGGUGAAAUCUCCGGGCUUAACCCGGAAACUGCCAUUGAUACUAUAGAUCUUGAAUAUCCUGGAGGUGAGCGGAAUAUGUCAUGUAGCGGUGAAAUGCUUAGAUAUGACAUAGAACACCAAUUGCGAAGGCAGCUCACUUCGGGAUUAUUGACACUGAGGCACGAAAGCGUGGGGAUCAAACAGG